rnacentral:rRNA from 1 species
UACGAAGGGGCGAGCGUUGUUCGGAAUUACUGGGCGUAAAGGGCGCGUAGGCGGCGAUCCGAGUCAGAUGUGAAAGUCCUGGGCUUAACCUGGGGACUGCAUUUGAUACUGGAUUGCUUGAAUUCGGGAGAGGAUAGCGGAAUUCCCAGUGUAGAGGUGAAAUUCGUAGAUAUUGGGAAGAACACCGGUGGCGAAGGCGGCUAUCUGGACCGACAUGACGCUGAGGCG